rnacentral:lncRNA from 1 species
UUGGGCUUUUCUUUCAUUUGACAUCUGAAGGGCUUUUUGAACCUUGUGUCAUUUAUUUUUCUCACAAGACUUUUAGUUCAGUAAUAAGGGACCCCUUAAGGUUUAUCUGAGUGCAUUUACUAAGAUUCUCUCUGAUUUAGUAUCUGGAAGUUCUUUGCUUUGAUGAGUUUACUUCGAAUGUCAUGCCCUUCUAUUUCAUAUCCUUUAUCAUCUCAGCAACUUUUUUUUUUCAGUCCAAUACAUUUUAAUGCUGCAUCCAGUCAACCUUUGCGAUGAAAUUGCUAACUUCAUCCUAUCUGCCGUUGUAGCUUACAAUACUUUCUGUUUGUGAUGAUGGCUUAUGAUCCAUCUUAUUUGCUGAGUAAACUGAUUGAGCCUAUGGAGCAUGGAAACACUGAGUUUAAGUGCAGAUGCACACACGAGGUUCUAGGUACAUUUGCAGCAAGGCUGGGGCACACAAGUGGUCAUUUUGUAAUUAUAUGAGUAUUUCCUAUGAGUGAAACAAAUAUAUGUUAUGACGGAGGGUCCUUCUUCUGCACGUUCAACAUUAAAGAUUUUACUGUAGCCAAGAUCCCUUUGCAGAAGAGAGGUUUUCAGCAUGCUAUGUUGUUCUAGAAACAUAUUUGAAGUUUCUUUAUUUCAGGAAGGUUGGGAAAUGCAAGGCUGCUAUUAAGGCAGAUAAGAGUAGCAAAAGACAGGCCAAGAAGGAAAAAAAGGCCGAAAAAGAUCCUAACAAACCAUUUGGGCCAGCCCGUUUGGGCCGUGAUUUUAUUUCGGUUCGGGCUGGCAUUGGGCUCGGGCUUGGUCCGGGCCCGGGCCGGGCCAAUGGGAAACCCGAGCCCGGCCCGAAAUAAAAUUGGGCUUAAGUUUGCAGCCCGAGC